rnacentral:lncRNA from 10 species
ACACAGCUACUCCAAUGGCAUACCCUUCAUCCUGCUGGGGAAUUGUGUUACCUGCUUAUUUUACAUGAAGCUUUCUUUUGCUCCUGACCCAGUUUCAUUCCUUUUGGAUUUCUUGAUUUUUCUCACUCUGCAUCAUUUUAUUUGCACACUUGUUUCCUACCAGCAUGGCCCUCACCCUGAAGUAAUUCUUUCCUUCAUGAGACAGUGCUAUAAAUGAAAGUUAAGGGUCUGGACCAGUGCUCAGGUUUCAGGAAACCCCUUCCCUCCACCUUUUCGACUUGACUUGUUUAAAUGUUUCAUCCUCAAAUCUGCAUUUCCCUAUGGAAUUCUAUACCUCAGCUAAUGGCAUUAAAAUACACUCUGUUGCCUCAGCUAGAACUCUUCAAGUCAUCUUUGACUUAUGUCCCUUAUUUUCCAUGUCCAAUUGAUCAUCAGACCUGUCAGAUCUCUGUCAGAAGUGUCCUCUGGCUAAAGUCCCUUUUUAUCAUCCUCAUGGCCACUGGCUUAGACCCUCAUCAUUUUUGUUUAGAGUAUUAAUACAGCCUCCUAG